GUUUCAGACGGACCCUCGUGGUGUUGAAGC
rfam:Halorubrum vacuolatum strain DSM 8800 genome assembly, contig: Ga0170423_121